AAUGGGCAGAACCCUACUGAAAAGGUACACCUCGAGCUCGUUUUAUCAACGGUAGCAUGUCCUUUUUCUUUUAAAAUAGCAACGGAUUUUAGCUGGCUUCUCGGGUAAGCUUUGGGGAUUUUGAAUUUCAAUUUUAAAUGGGCAUGUUUCAUUCGGGUUCUAUAAAUAGAAGCCCUUGCUCUUCAUUUAGAGAGAGAUUUUUCAGAGGAAGUUCUGAGGCCAAAUUUCUGGUCUUUGCACCUCAAAGGGGUUUUUUACAUCUCUUAAGGGCAAGAACACUUAGAAACCCGGCUAAGCCGUUGAGUUUCAAGGACGUUCUCACUUGAAUAUAAUUUUUGGAAUCAUUUCCGUUCGUCGAAAAUCAAUUCGGGUGAAAGGUAGUUCAUCGUCAACCCUCGUCGCCCCUGUCGCUGCUCGAUAAAAAGGUAUAGAUACUCGAUUUGAUGAUCCUCCAGCUUAGGAUUUCUACUCAGCUGUCUUGGAAAGCUCCCUUGUUCUGGAGCCUAGACUUUGGUACAGAUCUUUUGAUGUAUAUAAAUAUGUUUAUCCAGGGGUACGGCGGGGCCCUGUCCCGUCAUAUUUCACUAUCGAUACUCUUAGAGGUCUGUAGACAUAUGUGUGGGUUGUGUAUAAGUUUGUUCAGCUGUGUCUAUACGAUGUGCUAUGGAUAUUGAUAUGUUGUGGCAGCCUUGUCGGCUUGCGUAUGAUAUUGAUAUGUAGUGGCAGCCUUGUCGGCUUGCGUACCAUAUUAUGUUUUGAUUAGAUGUGACUCCUCAUGAGACAGGUUAUCUGGAUAUAUAUAUACACAUGUACUCUGGACAGAAAUAUCGACGUCUCGGCAGCACAACCCAGUGUGACUCGCGAAGUCUGAGUGCCACCCAACCCGGAUCUUUGCCAAACACACAGACGGGACCCUAGCUAAUUGCUCACAGGGGGAGUCUCACUGGCACCACUCUGGGGGACCCGCGGAGCAUAUGCACUACAAUCAAUUCUGGGAUAACAUCAAAAUCGGUCAUGCAACAACGAUGCCUGAAUAUAACCAUGGACAUCGGCCUCCUCACAAUCACUCAAAAGAGUUGUCAAAUAUCAACUUCAUAAAUAAAUAAUUCCGGAAUUGAACCUUG